GAGGUUUAGGCAAGCACAUAUACUGAAACUGGAAGGAUAUAGAGAUUAGCAUGGUUCCUAACCGAGGAUGACUCACAAAUCCACAAAGCAUUUAUAUAUAUNN
ensembl:snRNA U6 U6 spliceosomal RNA